GGCCUCUGAAGCCAGCCUGCCUGGGGCAAUUGGGCUGCACCACCUGCCAGCUGUACAACCCUGGAAAGACAUCAGCAAUCCUGGAGAGCCAUAAGCUUCACCCCUAUCUCAGAGGCUUGGAGGAUUUCACAUGACCACAGCUUAAUUGCCAGGAGACUCCAGCACCUCCCAGAAUGUCUUGAGGAAUGGCACUUCACCGGGGCCCUUGGAUGACGUGCCACAUGUAUUCAACAGUAAACAUCUUCCUGUAAUCCUUGCUUCACUAAUGGCAAUGUGAGCCAAUGCACAGUGUUUAUCAAAUGGCAUCUAAGAUGGUUAAGGCACACCUAAUCGUCUUGUGGGUGCCUGCCAAGAGUAGAAAAGGGUAGUGUAUAGAUAUCAAUUUUAUUGUCCAGCAUUCCCUAAUUGACGUCCCGAGUGGUCUGAAAACUUAGACGAAAGAUAAAUGGGCCACAGUAAUUAACCACUGCAAUAACAGAUGUGAUACAGGAAACCUGCGUGUGCCAGAGCUAUAAGCAUGUUUUGAUUUUGAAUAGGCACUCGGGUUAGCACAUUCUUCCUCAAUAAUGGAAAUCACAUGUAAAUGUUUUGUAAGGUAUUAACUGCCAUGGCAGACGUUGAAUUAUUUUUCCUUUAAAGAACAUAUACACACGCUUUGUCAGAU
rnacentral:lncRNA from 1 species